AGCCUUGUAGUGUAAAACAUGUCGGGUUGCAAACCCGGAGAAGCAGAUUUAUACCUGCCGGGGCUU
rnacentral:tRNA from 1 species